rnacentral:rRNA from 1 species
ACGCGUGGAACCUUACCAGGUCUUGACAUCCCACUGACCGCUAUGGAGACAUAGCUUUCCCUUCGGGGACAGUGGUGACAGGUGGUGCAUGGUUGUCGUCAGCUCGUGUCGUGAGAUGUUGGGUUAAGUCCCGCAACGAGCGCAACCCUUGUUCUUAGUUGCCAUCAUUUAGUUGGGCACUCUAAGGAGACUGCCGGUGACAAACCGGAGGAAGGUGGGGAUGACGUCAAAUCAUCAUGCCCCUUAUGACCUGGGCUACACACGUGCUACAAUGGACGGUACAAACGGUUGCCAACCCGCGAGGGGGAGCUAAUCCGAUAAAACCGUUCUCAGUUCGGAUUGUAGGCUGCAACUCGCCUACAUGAAGCUGGAAUCGCUAGUAAUCGCGGAUCAGCAUGCCGCGGUGAAUACGUUCCCGGGCCUUGCACACACCGCCCGU